AUUGAACGCUGGCGGUAUGCUUUACACAUGCAAGUCGAACGGUAACAGGUUAAGCUGACGAGUGGCGAACGGGUGAGUAAUGCAUCGGAACGUGCCCGAUCGUGGGGGAUAACGCAGCGAAAGCUGCGCUAAUACCGCAUACGAUCUGAGGAUGAAAGCGGGGGACCGUAAGGCCUCGCGCGAUCGGAGCGGCCGAUGUCAGAUUAGGUAGUUGGUGGGGUAAAGGCCCACCAAGCCGACGAUCUGUAGCUGGUCUGAGGGGACGACCAGCCACACUGGGACUGAGACACCGCGCAGACUCCUACGUGAGGCAGCAGUGGGGAAGUUUGGACAAUGGGCGAAAGCCUGAUCCAGCAAUGCCGCGUGCAGGAAGAAGGCCUUCGGGUUGUAAACUGCUUUUGUACGGAGCGAAAAGGUCCUUUCUAAUACAGGGGGCUCAUGACGGUACCGUAAGAAUAAGCACCGGCUAACUACGUGCCAGCCGCCGCGGUAA
rnacentral:rRNA from 1 species